ensembl:snoRNA
GGCCGAUGAUGAGUGAAAUGAAUAAGAGUAGUGGACAGAAUGCAUUUCUGAACGUUUCUACUCUGAGGUC